GACGAACGCUGGCGGCGUGCCUAAUACAUGCAAGUCGAACGCAGUGGGGACGGGUGCGUAACACGUGGGUAACCUCCCAUCAGAGGGGAUAACACUUGGAAACAGCCGCUAAACCGAUACUGAUGGAUGGACCCGCGGUGCAUUAGCUGGUUGGUGAGGUAACGGCUCACCAAGGCCACGAUGCAUAGCCAACCGUAGCGGGUGAACGGCCAAACGGGGACUGAGACAGGGCCCAGAAUCCUACGAGAGGCAGCAGUAGGAAAUCUUCGGCAAUGGACGAAAGUCUGACCGAGCAACGCCGCGUGAGUGAAGAAGGUUUGCGGAUCGUAAAACUCUGUUGUUAGAGAAGCGGUAGCUAACCAGAAAGCCACGGCUAACUACGUGCCAGCAGCCGCGGUAAUAC
rnacentral:rRNA from 1 species